GGGUGAAUAGUGUAGUUGGUUAUCGCGCCCGCUUCGCACCGCACCGUAUUACGUAAUGCAGCUCUGCGGGAGGUGCUGGGUUCAAUUCCCAGUUCAUCCA